UACGUAGGGUGCGAGCGUUAAUCGGAAUUACUGGGCGUAAAGCGUGCGCAGGCGGUUCUGAAAGUCAGCUGUGAAAUCCCCGGGCUUAACCUGGGAAUGGCGAUGGAGACUGCGAGGCUAGAGUUUGGCAGAGGGGGGUAGAAUUCCACGUGUAGCAGUGAAAUGCGUAGAGAUGUGGAGGAACACCGAUGGCGAAGGCAGCCCCCUGGGUCAAAACUGACGCUCAUGCACGAAAGCGUGGGGAGCAAACAGG
rnacentral:rRNA from 1 species